GCCUGGGUGGCUCAGUCGGUUAAGCGUCUGACUUUGGCUGAGGUCAUGAUCUCGCGGUUCGUGGGUUCGAGCCCCAUGUCAGGCU
rnacentral:tRNA from 1 species